AUGCCUCAUGUUGAGGGUGCUUGUGCAAUGCCCGCCGGUGAUGGUGAGGUGGAGGCAGGGUUCGCCAAGCUGCAGGGUGAGGAUUUCGAGUACUACAUGCAGACCUACUCGAUCAUGCUGGGCCGCAACAGCAAGAAGUCGACUGUGGAUGUCGAUCUCUCCAGCCUUGGUGGGGGGAUGAACAUCUCGCGCCACCACGCGUGGAUAUUCUACGACUUCCAGCACUGCCGCUUCGCGCUCGAGGGUGUCCUGCAUCUCCCUUGGAAUCCUCCUGUUAAGCUUGACUCGCAGGACCUCCUUCAGAUUGGGGACAAGAAGUUUUACUUCCUCCUGCCGACGAGGUCUAUCUUUGCCUCGCUUGCCGCUGCUCGACAAGCCCCUUUUAUUCCGUCACAUAUCGCACUUCCAUCGUAUGUGCAGCCAGGGCACCCUCGUGUGUCCGAUUUCCAUGACCGCCUCCCUGAAGGUGAUUAUGGCUGGGACAGUGAUGACGUUGGGAAUGGUGUCAGUGCAAGUGGAAUGAAGGGCAAGCUGAAGAGAACCGAAAAGUCUCCCAGAGAUUUGGACAUCUAUGGUGGGCACAGAAUCAAUGUUGAACCAAUAGGAACAAUCGGCGAAGACAAUAGACCAGAAAUAAGGUUGAGGGGUGACCGGGAUGUGGACAACCAGCACAUCCUUCAAUUGGAAGAGAAGGAAGCCAUGUCAUCUGUUGCGAUUGUGUUAUCUGACAUCUGUGGUCCUGGACAAUAUAUGCCUACGAGAAAACUUCACACAGAGUCACCGAUUAUAGCCAAGGGGAGGCCAUGGUUCGGGCUGCUGGAGCUGCUCAGGAAGCACCCGGAGCACUUCGUCAUUAACACAAAAUGGAAGGGCAGGGCGAUCUCAGAGUUCGUCUCGCUGGUUUCCUUGCUAUCCUAG
rnacentral:rRNA from 1 species